rnacentral:rRNA from 1 species
AAUGAACGCUGGCGGCGUGCCUAACACAUGCAAGUCGAACGAGAAAUUUCCCGCUUGCGGGAGAAAGUAAAGUGGCGAACGGGUGAGUAACGCGUGGGUAACCUGCCCCUGAAUCUGGAAUAACUUCGCGAAAGCGAGGCUAAUACCGGAUAUUGUCCCAGGGACCGUGGUCCUUGUGAUGAAAGGUGACCUCUUCAAGAAAGUUGUCGUUCAGGGAGGGGCCCGCGUACCAUUAGCUAGUUGGUAGGGUAAUGGCCUACCAAGGCGAUGAUGGUUAGCUGGUCUGAGAGGAUGACCAGCCACACUGGCACUGAAACACGGGCCAGACUCCUACGGGAGGCAGCAGUGAGGAAUCUUGCGCAAUAGGGGAAACCCUGACGCAGCAACGCCGCGUGAGUGAAGAAGGCCUUCGGGUCGUAAAGCUCUGUCAAGUGGGAAAAAAGCUUACUGGUAAAUAGCCAGAAAGCCUGAUGGUACCAUUAAAGGAAGCACCGGCUAACUCCGUGCCAGCAACCGCGGUAAUACGGAGGGUGCAAGCGUUGUUCGGAAUUACUGGGCGUAAAGGGCGUGUAGGCGGUGUGGUAAGUCAGAUGUGAAAGCCCUGGGCUUAACCCAGGAAGUGCAUUUGAAACUGCCACGCUUGAGUAUGGGAGAGG